GACGUAGGGCGCGAGCGUUGUCCGGAUUUAUUGGGCGUAAAGAGCUCGUAGGCGGUUCGGUAAGUCAGGUGUGAAACCUCCAGGCUCAACCUGGAGACGCCACCUGAUACUGCUGUGACUCGAGUCCGGUAGGGGAGCGUGGAAUUCCUGGUGUAGCGGUGAAAUGCGCAGAUAUUGGGAGGAACACCAGUGGCGAAGGCGGCUCACUGGACCGGUACUGACGCUGAUGCGCGAAAGCGUGGGGAGCAAACGGG
rnacentral:rRNA from 1 species